GUAGGAUAUGACUCAGUAGAAUGCUGAUUGAAUUGGCUUCUCACUGUAUUUGUCAAGGCUGGAACAGACGAUGGCACUGCAGAAUCUUAUGUGCACAGAAGAAAUCUACAGACAUUCAAUGAGGGGAGGAUUUCGUUCCAUCAGAUGGGCUUCCUGACAUAAUUGCAAAGACACAUGAAGACUCAACGAUUUAUCUCCCAUCAACCUCUUCUUAGUUAAUAUCAGCCCAUGUGCUCCAAGAAAACCAGAGGAAAUAUCAAGAAAGAAGAAAACAUGAGACCCUGAAAAUAAAAACCUCAACCCAGAAGGUAUGCCAAAGAAAUCUCCAGGGCGACGGGGAGGGAGAUGCAGAUGCCAUAGCUGUGAAACUAGCUUGGAGAGCAGCAAAUCCCAG
rnacentral:lncRNA from 10 species